GAUGAACGCUGGCGGCGUGCUUAACACAUGCAAGUCGAACGAGAAAUGGAGACGGAAACCUUCGGGCGGAAGGCUUCAUUUCGAGUGGCGGACGGGUGAGUAACGCGUGGGUAACCUGCCUCUUACAGGGGGAUAACAGUUGGAAACGACUGUUAAUACCGCAUAAGACCACAGCACCGCAUGGUGCGGGGGUAAAAACUCCGGUGGUAUGAGAUGGACCCGCGUUCGAUUAGCCAGUUGGCGGGGUAACGGCCCACCAAAGCGACGAUCGAUAGCCGAUCUGAGAGGAUGACCGGCCACAUUGGGACUGAGACACGGCCCAAACUCCUACGGGAGGCAGCAGUGGGGAAUAUUGCACAAUGGGGGAAACCCUGAUGCAGCGACGCCGCGUGAGUGAAGAAGUACUUCGGUAUGUAAAGCUCUAUCAGCAGGGAAGAAAAUGACGGUACCUGAGUAAGAAGCCCCGGCUAACUACGUG
rnacentral:rRNA from 1 species